UACGAAGGGGACUAGCGUUGUUCGGAAUCACUGGGCGUAAAGCGCACGUAGGCGGAUGUGUCAGUUAGGGGUGAAAUCCCGGGGCUCAACCUCGGAACUGCCUUUGAUACAGCACGUCUCGAGUCCGGAAGAGGUGGGUGGAAUUCCUAGUGUAGAGGUGAAAUUCGUAGAUAUUAGGAAGAACACCGGUGGCGAAGGCGGCCCACUGGUCCGGUACUGACGCUGAGGUGCGAAAGCGUGGGGAGCAAACAGG
rnacentral:rRNA from 1 species